rnacentral:rRNA from 3 species
GGGUUGUGAGGUUAAGCGACUAAGCGUACACGGUGGAUGCCCUGGCAGUCAGAGGCGAUGAAGGACGUGCUAAUCUGCGAUAAGCGCCGGUAAGGUGAUAUGAACCGUUAUAACCGGCGAUUUCCGAAUGGGGAAACCCAGUGUGAUUCGUCACACUAUCAUUAACUGAAUCCAUAGGUUAAUGAGGCGAACCGGGGGAACUGAAACAUCUAAGUACCCCGAGGAAAAGAAAUCAACCGAGAUUCCCCCAGUAGCGGCGAGCGAACGGGGAGGAGCCCAGAGCCUGAAUCAGCAUGUGUGUUAGUGGAAGCGUCUGGAAAGGCGCGCGAUACAGGGUGACAGCCCCGUACACAAAAGCGCAUGUGCUGUGAGCUCGAUGAGUAGGGCGGGACACGUGGUAUCCUGUCUGAAUAUGGGGGGACCAUCCUCCAAGGCUAAAUACUCCUGACUGACCGAUAGUGAACCAGUACCGUGAGGGAAAGGCGAAAAGAACCCCGGCGAGGGGAGUGAAAAAGAACCUGAAACCGUGUACGUACAAGCAGUGGGAGCCCCACCACUAAGCCAGUGGUGAACUCCACAUACGCAUCCUUUGCUGAGGAUACGGUUAACGGAGCGAAAGCGACGUUCAACCUCAAAAGAAGCAGAGGGGGCUUAGUGGUGGGGUGACUGCGUACCUUUUGUAUAAUGGGUCAGCGACUUAUAUUCUGUAGCAAGGUUAACCGUAUAGGGGAGCCGGAGGGAAACCGAGUCUUAAUUGGGCGUUAAGUUGCAGGGUAUAGACCCGAAACCCGGUGAUCUAGCCAUGGGCAGGUUGAAGGUUGGGUAACACUAACUGGAGGACCGAACCGACUAAUGUUGAAAAAUUAGCGGAUGACCUGUGGCUGGGGGUGAAAGGCCAAUCAAACCGGGAGAUAGCUGGUUCUCCCCGAAAGCUAUUUAGGUAGCGCCUCGUGAAUUCAUCUUCGGGGGUAGAGCACUGUUUCGGCUAGGGGGUCAUCCCGACUUACCAACCCGAUGCAAACUGCGAAUACCGGAGAAUGUUAUCACGGGAGACACACGGCGGGUGCUAACGUCCGUCGUGAAGAGGGAAACAACCCAGACCGCCAGCUAAGGUCCCAAAGUCAUGGUUAAGUGGGAAACGAUGUGGGAAGGCCCAGACAGCCAGGAUGUUGGCUUAGAAGCAGCCAUCAUUUAAAGAAAGCGUAAUAGCUCACUGGUCGAGUCGGCCUGCGCGGAAGAUGUAACGGGGCUAAACCAUGCACCGAAGCUGCGGCAGCGAACGUAUCACUUAAAGCGAUUCAGCGGGUUACGAUUGACGGAGCGAAGCGACGUCAAAGCGUAUACAAAGUCGAGUCGGUUUAAGGAUACGUU